AUACCAAAAAACUAUCAUGAUGGUAAAUGGUUGGUACUUAUAUAACGCUUUUCCACACUUUUAUGGUGUCAAAAGCGCUUUACAAAGCCUCACAUUCACCCAUUCACACACACAAUCAUACACCAGUAGGCGGCUGCUGCCAU